rnacentral:lncRNA from 1 species
UACUAGGAUUUUCUGCCUUCCUGCAGCCCUAAGAUAAAGGUGCUGACUAUGGGCAGUGUUUGCUGACUCAGCCCCGAGCUGUCUGUUAAUACUGCCCAAUGAUUCCAGCUCAGGGUAGUCUGUGAUAUGUGUAAAGCAGUCAUUGUUCUUGGGGCAAGGGAAGCCUGAGAAAAUGGGGAUACUGGAUUUUGCUAUUGUAUGAUGUAAGAUACAUGCAAAGCUGUGACGAUUUUUUUAAAAAUAAUCAUAUUAAUCUUGUUUACUUCCAAAUUCAUUUAUUCAUUAAACACACUUUAUUCAGCCCCUGCUAGGUUCCAAGCACUGUUCUGGGUAUAGACAGAAAGACAUGAAGGCAGCCUUUCUGAAGCCUGCAGUCCAGGGUCAAAAGCAGAGAAACAAUACACUAAGAAAGCAAUAUAUAAUUGAGAUGGAUAUUAUGAAGUAAAUGAGAAAAUGAUCAAAAAUUAAAGUGGGUGUGGUUUGGGGGCACCAGGAACCAUUUAGACUGGAUUAUUACUGAAGGCUUUUUUAGGUUUACUUUUCUCAUUUCCUUCAUCACUGCUUAUUGAGUUACCCGUUUAAAUAUUUGCCCUCAUUGGUCUGUAAGUUCUAUGAAUACAGGGACUUUAGCUGGUGACUGUUGUAGUCACUAGUGCAUUUUCAUGCACCAUGCAUACUUGGCACACAGUAAGUCUUUAAAUAUUUGCAGAAUGAAUAAAUGAAUGAAUUAGACAAUAGCUCCAUCCCAAACACGCACAUGCACAUACACACUCUGACGCAGUAGGAGAGAAGAGGAACAGCAUUUUUAGAGCUAAACGGGAUAACAUCCUGUCCUCCUUAACAGGAAGGAUCUUGGAGUCAGUGCUAGAAAAUCUCUGAGCUUAUAAGAAAUGGAUCCACAUCACUUGUGAAACUGGAAUUAUCUGAUAGGUGAUUAAAGGUUUUGUCCAUAGGACUCAGGAAGUAAUAAAUCUAUAUUCUUUGAAGCUUAAGAUAGAGUAUUUGUUAGGCUACUUGCUGCUAGAUGAGGCAAGAUUGGAUUUUUGUGGUCUCCUCUGGAAGAUGCCCUCAUUGUAAGCUGCUGGAGGCUGGGUUUAUUUGCCUCAGGAACAUGUAACACAGUGAUAAUCUCCCAUGGUUCUAGAAAGGCUGAAAACUAUAGGUAGGGGUUUGAUCCACUAAUCCAUCUUCUGUGGCUUACUAUUGAUUGAAUUUGGCUAAUGGUGAGAUGGAGACUUUACUGUCCUUCUGCAGUAAAUUUUGUUAUGUCCUGGAAGGCAUCACUCUCUCUUUCCAGUCAAAUUGUCCAAACAAUUGGUCUUCUUUUUGGUUACCUCUUGUGCUGGGCACACUUCCUCAUGUAUGGUAGAUGACCUCAGUGCAUCUUCCUUUCUUUGUGUGUGAGAGAAAAGAGAGAUGCCAGGGUCUGACCGUAUCCAAAGAGUCCAAGGAUAAACCUAGCCUCAGUAAUGGCAUGAUCUACAGUUAAUUGACACACCAGCACCUAGUUUUUCUCUCUCCUUGUCUUGACUCUCCUUCUUCUGUUUGGAGUACAUUAUCACACACUUUCUCUUCUAAAAGAGGCAAGUUGAUUGCAGCAGAUGCAGCCUACUUCAACUAGGUUCAAGUGG